AUUGAACGCUGGCGGCAUGCUUUACACAUGCAAGUCGAACGGCAGCGCGGGCUUCGGCCUGGCGGCGAGUGGCGAACGGGUGAGUAAUGCAUCGGAACGUGCCCAGUAGUGGGGGAUAGCCCGGCGAAAGCCGGAUUAAUACCGCAUACGACUUGAGGGUGAAAGCGGGGGACCGAAAGGCCUCGCGCUAUUGGAGCGGCCGAUGUCGGAUUAGCUAGUUGGUGGGGUAAAGGCUUACCAAGGCGACGAUCCGUAGGUGGUCUGAGAGGACGACCAGCCACACUGGGACUGAGACACGGCCCAGACUCCUACGGGAGGCAGCAGUGGGGAAUUUUGGACAAAGGGGGCAACCCUGAUCCAGCCAUGCCGCGUGCGGGAAGAAGGCCUUCGGGUUGUAAACCGCUUUUGUUCGGGAAGAAAUCCUCUGGGCUAAUACCCCGGGGGGAUGACGGUACCGGAAGAAUAAGCACCGGCUAACUACGUG
rnacentral:rRNA from 1 species